AAUGAUUUAAUAUUAAAUGGCCGCAGUAUUUUGACUGUGCAAAGGUAGCAUAAUCAAUAGUCUUUUAAUUGAAGGCUUGAAUGAAUGGUUGGACGAAGUAUAAUCUGUUUCAUUUAAAUUUAUUAUAGAAUUUUAUAUUUUAGUUAAAAAGCUAAAAUAUUUUUAAAAGACGAGAAGACCCUAUAAAUCUUUAUAAUUUAAUUUAUUUUUAUUUUUUUGAUUUAUUUUGUUUAAAUAAAUUAAAUUAUUUUGUUGGGGUGAUAUUAAAAUUUAAAUAACUUUUAAUUAUUUUUUUUUCAUUAAUUUAUGUUUUAUUGAUCCAUUAAUAAUGAUUAUAAGAAUAAGUUACUUUAGGGAUAACAGCGUAAUUUUUUUGGAGAGUUCUUAUUGAUAAAAAAGUUUGCGACCUCGAUGUUGGAUUAAGAUAUAAUUUUAGGUGUAGUCGCUUAAA
rnacentral:rRNA from 1 species